GGGGGUGUAGCUCAGCGGUAGAGCACUCACCUAGAAAGUGCAAGGCCUGGGGUUCCAUCUCCAGCACCACCA
rfam:Fukomys damarensis contig84599, whole genome shotgun sequence.